GGUAGAUAGGUGGACGUCACUUUUACAGCGCGCUAAAAUUGUGGAAAUAACUGCUCCGUACAAUAGUUAGCUAAUUCAUUUUCCUGGUGUAAGAAGCUGAAUUAAACCCUUUAAGGCAGCGUUUAGGAUGAUUUAGUAUUGCCCGCAGUCAGGGUGAUAUUGAAGGAGCCCCAGAAGAGACUAAAAGUAAGUGCAUAUCAAUAAUCAACGGACUCCCUGCAUUAACAGAUCUCAAACACAGGAUCAAUAUAUUGCUGUCCUUAGGCUUGUAUUCGUUAAGGAACACUGUAGCAAAACGUUUAGCAACAGUUAAACAAAAACAAGUGUUUCUUAUUGGACAAAUUCAAAUCAAAUCAAAUCAAAAUUCAGCUAGGUCUCUCCGUUUUGGUCCGUUUGCUUCUACUGAAUAGGACCCCAGGUAUCCUACUAUAAUUCAUGUCAGUUACUGAAAUAUGUUGCUUUGAAUUUUGUGUUUCUGCGUGUGUUCCACAAAGAAUAUUGAACGCUCAAGCAAGCAAAUAAAUGGGCACACAGACCCAACACCUACCUCACAGCCUCAAUCAUCUGAAAAGGACUCAGGUUGCUGGGGCACUCAGCUGAACUGUAAGAGCAUGCCGGUGGCUGCCCCCAAACUGACUCUGACAGCCAAGGAAAGGGAGUCACUACAGCUGGAGCUGCGGGCAGACAGACAUACCCUACAGCUGGAGCUGCGGGCAGACAGACAUACCCUACAGCUGGAGCUGCGGGCAGACAGACAUACCCUACAGCUGGAGCUGCGGGCAGACAGACAUACCCUGUUGUCCCCUCUGCCAAAGCCAGCCAACACACGUCAAUACCCCCUGGCCUCUCCAAUGCAGACAGGGAAAGAACACCCAGAGCAGCUGCCGGAGGAGCUCUUUGAGCCCCUAACAGCCUUUGCGCCCUCCAAGCUAUGGUCUCCUGCAGUGGGUUAUCCUCAUCAUACAGACAGGCAGGCAGCAGGGCCCAGCAGCUCAGACAGACCUUCACCAAGAGGCUGACCUCUGCAUUUGAUGAGGUGGGUGAUGCAGAGUAGCCGGUUGUGGGAUAUUUGU
rnacentral:lncRNA from 1 species